CAGUCGCCGCGGGAAAACGUAGGUGGCAAGCGUUGUCCGGAAUUAUUGGGCGUAAAGCGAGCGCAGGCGGUUAGAUAAGUCUGAAGUUAAAGGCUGUGGCUUAACCAUAGUACGCUUUGGAAACUGUUUAACUUGAGUGCAAGAGGGGAGAGUGGAAUUCCAUGUGUAGCGGUGAAAUGCGUAGAGAUGUGGAGGAACACCAGUGGCGAAGGCGACUCUCUGGUCUGUAACUGACGCUGAGGAGCGAAAGCGUGGGGAGCGAACAGGAUUAGAUACCCCCGUAGUCCCUGUCUCUUAUACA
rnacentral:rRNA from 1 species